AGAGCCAGGUGAGCGGAAUGGGACCGUACAUUCAAGAGAAUAUUCUCAGCCUUGAAAAGGAAGGGCAUUUGAAAGAUGCUGCAGCAGGGGUGAACCCCAGGACCUCGUGCUAAGAGACAGGCCAGACUCCAGGGGCCAACCUUGUGCGAUUCUCAUAUGAGGCACCCAGGGGGUCAGGUUCGCAGGAACAGAAAGCGGGCGCAGGGGCUGGAGGUCAGAAAGGAUGUGAUUAUUUAAUGGGUGCAGCAUGUGGCUGGUUGGUAGAAACGUUCUGAGGACGUGGACGCCCAGGACGGCGGCAGAACAUAACCCUACUGAACUGCACUGAAGAAAUGGUCAAUUGGUAAUUUUUCUGUACGUCUCACAACGAUAAAAAAUUAGGAAUUUCUUAGAAGUUUAAAUAUCAACAACAGGACUUCACGCAGCUUCGGGACACCACUCUCCUGGUGUCUUCCCGGCUCUCCAGUCCCUCCUGGCUGGCUGGCCCGAAGCUGUGGGUCACGCGUGGCUCUGGUCCGCCAAGGACAGCAGGCAGGCGCUGUGCUCCACCUGCCUGUGGUCUGCGUAGGCGCCACACCCCAGUGCCCAUCCUGACCGCUCUUCUCUCCCCACUCAGAAUCGCGACACCCCUCACCCUGCGCCCUCAGCGGGCAGCCCCGGCCCCUGCUGCUUCUGUCCUCAUCCUCCUGCCAAAGGCCCCGCCCACUCCCGCCACACACCACACCCGGGAGGACCCCGGAGGACCCGCAUCCGUCUGCAGACCCUGGAGCCCUCUCCGUGGCUCUGGGGCUCCAUCAGUCGCCUCCCGCACAGAGGACACUAGGAGUCUCCUGCUGCCCGGUCGUCCUAUCCCAUGGGGUGUCCAGCUCCUGGAGGGCAGGGACUGUGGCCUUCACUCAUCAGCUCUCUGUUUUGAGAUAAUAAGGCCCUGUGUCCUCUAUGUGAAGUGGCACCUACAGGACAGAAUUCCAAGUGUCCUCCUGACUUCUUCCAAUGGCGCUCAAUACCAGAAUCAGGAAAUCUACUGCAUACGUGUACGAAUAUGUGACAGCGAAUCCUAUCAUUGUUUUCUGUAAUGCACCAGGAAGUCAACCGUGGGUACCAUAUCGCUAACUGGACUACAGACUUUAUUCCCCGUCCAUUGUUAAAGUGCAUCUUUGGUUGUGCGUGAA